rnacentral:rRNA from 1 species
CCUACGGGGUGCAGCAGUGAGGAAUAUUGGUCAAUGGACGAGAGUCUGAACCAGCCAAGUAGCGUGAAGGAUGACUGCCCUAUGGGUUGUAAACUUCUUUUAUAUGGGAAUAAAAUGUUCCACGUGUGGGAUUUUGUAUGUACCAUAUGAAUAAGGAUCGGCUAACUCCGUGCCAGCAGCCGCGGUAAUACGGAGGAUCCGAGCGUUAUCCGGAUUUAUUGGGUUUAAAGGGAGCGUAGGUGGGUUGGUAAGUCAGUUGUGAAAGUUUGCGGCUCAACCGUAAGAUUGCAGUUGAAACUGGCAGUCUUGAGUACAGUAGAGGUGGGCGGAAUUCGUGGUGUAGCGGUGAAAUGCUUAGAUAUCACGAAGAACUCCGAUUGCGAAGGCAGCUCACUGGACUGCAACUGACGCUGAGGCUCGAAAGUGUGGGUAUCGAACAGGAUUAGAUACCCCUGUAGUC